rnacentral:lncRNA from 1 species
GCCGGUUCUUUUUCCUUCCCCCACGUCCUCCCUGGAAGCACUUCUAGAAAAGAGCUACUUGACAUUUUAGGAGAAAAAAUAUGUCAAAGUGAAAGGCCCAUGAUAUUCAGUGGAAACCGUAGGCUGGAGAAAUCUCAGUGCACUUGCAGCAUGGGCCUCCUUGUGUCUCGGAAGUGAAACCAGGUGAGUGGCAUCUCAAUCUUCAACAAGAGGAGAGGGUCAGUCAGGCCGCACCCAGGAGCCGUGGCUGCAGGAGCUGAGCCAGCUGCUUGGUGCCUGUUGUAGGCAGUUCGGCCAGGAUGGGGCGGAGGCUGGCCUGACCAGCUUCCUGUCUGAUAAAGGCCCCCAUCACCCUGAGGCGCAGGGCUGUGGCCCCGGUGACUGGGGGCCUGAAGUGUCUUCAGCCUGACCCAGAGAAAGAAGAGAUGCUUGGGGGCUUGGGGCUCUCUGACUCAGCCGGAGGCAAGCCAUGCCCACGGCGUCACGUCAGAGGACAGUCCACGGACACAUGCUGUUCAGUUUAAACACGUGGCAUCCCGCGGACCAUGAUCGUUCCUGUGGGAGCAUUUCCUGGAUGGGAACUUGUCAACCAAACCCUCUGGAUGCACGCGCCAGACUGCUCCUCCCUGACGCUGAGUGACCGUGGGCAGAAGACGCCGUC